AACGAACGCUGGCGGCGCGUCUUAAGCAUGCAAGUCGAACGGCAAGAUUGGUGCUUGCACCGAUCCUAGAGUGGCGGACUGGUGAGUAACGCGUGGGUGACGUACCCUAAGGAUGGGGAUAGCUGGUAGAAAUAUCAGAUAAUACCGAAUAUCCUUAUUGUUGUUAGAGGACAGUAAGGAAAGGAGCUUUGGCUUCGCCUAAGGAUCGGCCCGCGUACUAUUAGCUAGUUGGUGAGGUAACGGCUCACCAAGGCGACGAUAGUUAUCCAGCCUAAGAGGGUGAACGGACACAUUGGGACUGAGAUGCGGCCCAGACUCCUACGGGAGGCAGCAGCUAAGAAUAUUCCGCAAUGGAGGAAACUCUGACGGAGCGACGCCGCGUGGAUGAUGAAGGCCGGAAGGUUGUAAAAUCCUUUUAAGCAAGAAGAAUAAACUUUACAGGGAAUGGUAGAGUGGUGACGGUAUUGCUUGAAUAAGCAACGGCUAAUUACGUGCCAGCCGCCGCGGUAAUAC
rnacentral:rRNA from 1 species